AGUGAACGCUGGCGGCAGGCCUAACGCAUGCAAGUCGAGCGGCAGCGCGGGGGCAACCCUGGCGGCGAGCGGCGGACGGGUGAGGAAUUCGUCGGAAUCUGCCUUUUUGUGGGGGAUAACGUAGGGAAACUUACGCUAAUACCGCAUACGUCCUACGGGAGAAAGUGGGGGACCGCAAGGCCUCACGCAGAAAGAUGAGCCGACGACCGAUUAGCUAGUUGGUGGGGUAAAGGCCCACCAAGGCGACGAUCGGUAGCUGGUCUGAGAGGAUGAUCAGCCACACUGGGACUGAGACACGGCCCAGACUCCUACGGGAGGCAGCAGUGGGGAAUAUUGGACAAUGGGCGCAAGCCUGAUCCAGCCAUGCCGCGUGUGUGAAGAAGGCCUUCGGGUUGUAAAGCACUUUUGUCCGGAAAGAAAUCCCUGGAGCUAAUACCUUCGGGGGAUGACGGUACCGGAAGAAUAAGCACCGGCUAACUUCGUG
rnacentral:rRNA from 1 species